AAUAAACGCUGGCGGCGUGCCUAACACAUGCAAGUCGAGCGAGAAAGCUCCUUCGGGAGUGAGUACAGCGGCGAACGGGUGAGCAACGCGUGGGAAUAUGCCUUGAAGAGUGGGACAACUUGGGGAAACUCAAGCUAAUACCGCAUGUACUCAAGAGGGUAAAGCUGGGGACCUUUAGGCCUGGCGCUUUAAGAUUAGCCUGCGUCCGAUUAGCUAGUUGGUAGGGUAAAGGCCUACCAAGGCGACGAUCGGUAGCUGGUCUGAGAGGAUGAUCCGCCACAGUGGAGAUGAGAGACGGUCCAGACUCCUACGGGCGGCAGCAGUGGGGAAUAUUGGACAAUGGGGGGAACCCUGAUCCAGCAAUGCCGCGUGGGUGAAGAAGGCCUGAGGGUUGUAAAGCACUUUCAGUGGGGAGGAGGUUUGGAAGGUUAAGAGCUAUUCAAAUGGACGUUACCCACAGAAGAAGCACCGGCUAACUCCGUGCCAGCCGCCGCCGUAA
rnacentral:rRNA from 1 species